ACAGUUUCUCCCUGGUUCUCUCUUGGGAUGAUUCCCCUUGGAACCCAGGCGCCACGCUGUGAAGAGACCUAGACAACAUGGAGAUACUCAUUUGGAGAAGAAUGGAGAUCCGUGGCCCUCAGCCCCAGGACUCUUUAAAUCUACAGAGGAAUUCAUAGCGGAAAAUCGCUGCAUAUAUUUUGCUGACAUCUCUUACAAAUCCACAUUGCUGCAUUGUGCUAAGGAACACAGAUGAAGGAAAGGGGAGAUUUUCAUCUUCAACCAAAUAGAAAAUUAAUUCAUCUCUACAUGAGUUCCUUGACUAUGUUACUCUUCAAAUUAAAGGGUCUAUCAUAUCCAGCGUCCUCAGAUGAAUUUGUGGUUUUAUAUUUUUUCUUAGUGGUGUACAGUCUGUCCCUACAUCUUAUUUUUUUAGAUAGUUAAAGAUGUGCCUCUUAUGUAAACACACUCUUGUAGCCUUAGUGAGAGAAAACACAGUGACCCAGGCAAUGAUGAGCUUAGGCCAGAGAUCUUCUUAAUCUGAGUGAAUCUAUACUUUUGCUUUUUUGAUGUGCUUUAAUUUUUUUAACUAUAGUCACCCAAGUUGUGCAAUCCUUUGACCAACAUCUCAACAACACCAACCCUUGUCCCACACCUCCCUAGCCCCUGGUAUCCACCAUGGAACAUUAUUUCUAUGAGAUUUAAGAGUAGGAUUAAUUUCUGUAGGAGCUUUUGGUUCAUCUUAGAUAAAAAAAAUAUAUAUAUAUAUAGAUUGGUAGACCUACAGAUUGUACUGACAAGUUUAAACAUUUCAAAUCAGAAGAAUUAAAUAUUUUAAAGUUGCCUGAGAGCUCAGUUUGCCUAAUUUACUAAAAUAAUUUAAGCCCACACCAAGGGAAAAGAAUGGAAAAGAAGGUAGAGUCUUUUCCUAGUAUGUGUGAGGGGUUGGCUCCACGACCCUCAUGGAUACCAAAAUCCAAGGAUGCUCAAGUUCCUGAUAUGAAAUGGCAUAGUAUUUGCAUAUAAACUACACAUAUCCUUCUUUAUACUUCAAAUCAUUUCUAGAUUACUUAUAACACCUAAUAUAAUGUAAAUGCUAUUUAAGUGUUUACUAUACUGUAUCAUUUUUCUUUGUAUUAUGUUUAUUGCUAUUUUUGGUCCACUAUUGGUUGAAUCUGUAGAUGUGGAAUCUAUGGAAACGGAGGGCCUACUGUAUUAGUUAUUGAGGACUUGCUAUGUGCCAGGCCCUUUAUAUGCACUAUCACUUUUAAUCCAGACCACUGUAGGGGAUAGCCAUAUUUAUUGGUACUUUAGAGACAAAUUGACAUUAUGGCUUCAAGAUAUUAAAUUAACUUACUCAAGGUCACAUAGUAGAGUUUAUAUGCUGUUGUGAGUAGUUUGCUUAUAAACUAUGCAGGCAGGAUUCAACCCCAAAUCUCUGUGGCUCCAAAGUACUUCUUUUUCUAAUUGGUCAUGUUUUCUCCUGCUCACAACACUAUGGUUAUUACCAAACUAGGCUAGAACAUGAGUUUCAUGAUUCCCAGACAAGCGCUUUUUCUAAAUGUCUUGUUGCCCCACCUUUGACUCUCCUUUCUUAAGUUUAGAGUGAAUUUCACCGAAGUCCAAAGAUGAGAAAAAAAAUUAGUGAUCCAUCUCUAAUAAUAAUGGUUAAUAUUUAUGGAGUGACUAUUAUGUGCCCAGGAUAAUGUUAGAUGAUAUAGAUUAGUGUAUUUAUUUCUCAAAGGAAGCUUUUUGUUUCAUAGCAUAAAUGUUCUUUUAUAUAGGUGGGAAAACUGAGGCUUAGAGAAGUGAAGUAACUUGUCAAAAGACAUAUAGUUUUUAAUGUCAGAACUUAAAUCCAGCAGUCCGCCAAAUUUAAGGUUUUUUUUUGUCAAUGUAUGUGUAUGUAGUAUAAUUAACUUAAAGAAAAUAUAGGCCAGGCAUGGUGGCUCACCCCUGUAAUCUCAGCAAUUUGGGAGGCCGAGGCAGGUGGAUCAAGAGGUCAGGAGUUCAAGACCAGCCUGGCCAACAUGGUGAAACCCCGUCUCUAUUAAAAAUACAAAAAUUAGCCCAGUGUGGUAGCACGUGCCUAUAAUCCCAGCUACUCAGGAGGCUGAG
rnacentral:lncRNA from 10 species